rnacentral:rRNA from 1 species
GACGAACGCUGGCGGCGUGCUUAACACAUGCAAGUCGAACGGAAAGGCCCUGCUUUUGUGGGGUGCUCGAGUGGCGAACGGGUGAGUAACACGUGAGUAACCUGCCCUUGACUUUGUGAUAACUUCAGGAAACUGGGGCUAAUACCCGAUAGGAGCUCCUGCUGCAUGGUGGUGGUUGGAAAGUUUCGGCGGUUGGGGAUGGACUCGCGGGUUAUCAGCUUGUUGGUGGGGUAGUGGCUUACCAAGGCUUUGACGGGUAGCCGGCCUGAGAGGGUGACCGGCCACAUUGGGACUGAGAGACGGCACAGACUCCUACGGGAGGCAGCAGUGGGGAAUAUUGCACAAUGGGCGGAAGCCUGAUGCAGAAACGCCGCGUGCGGGAUGACGGCCUUAGGGUUGUAAACCGAUUUCGCCUGUGACGAAGCGUGAGUGACGGUAAUGGGUAAAGAAGCACCGGCUAACUACGUG